CAAACGUUGUUGCUGCCCCUUCUUAGCCCUUGCCUUUACCUAGGCUCGGGCUGGACCCUGAUGCGGUUCGAGUGCCCCAAGCACGCCCACUCGGCUGCUAUGGAUCACUCGUUGCCGCUCGUGCAUUCGGAUGCGGAACGCUAAGCGAUGCCGGGGCGCGCCCAGCAGCCCCCGCAUGACCCUAAACAGCGAGCGAAACUUCGCUCCCCGAGAAUGACCACCGCCGCGCUCGCUCUUCCAUCCAACCGUUCGCUCGGCGAUGGGAUCUAGCGCGCCGCGGUGCCUUCAAGGGCCGCUACCUGGUUGAUCCUGCCAGUAGUCAUAUGCUGUCUCAAA
rnacentral:misc_RNA from 1 species